AUCGCUUGGAAGCUAACAUGUCUGCUGGCGGCAGACGCCGUGCUGGCGACGCUCAGGAACAAAGCACCCAAGAUGAAAUUCGCCACAGCGGCUGCAUCUGAGUUUGGUUCAGGCAGGCCUUUAUGUGCUAGAUCGGAGAUCGCGAGAGAGCUGCAAUCAGGGAAGUGUCACGGAUGCAGGUGAUAUGUGCGUCCCCCACCGCCACCACCGUAACCGCCACCACCAAAGCAAAGGCCGCUUUUGAGUUCCUUUUGCCCCAGACAGACGGCUUCCACACUGCGAUAACACAGCUGACGAGAUGCUGUACGCUGGACGUCUUGAUCAACAGAAAACUGCUGCUAAGACCAGAAAUACUGGGGAUUGAUCAGACAAUCAUAACACACCUGGCAAUGAAUGAAAGUAGAACAUUAGAUUUGUUGUCUCUCCAAAUAUAAAAAAACGAAAGCAAUGCAACGGUAUAAUUCUGUAACAUGAUGACAUCCAUAUAUUUGAACGGUGAAAUUCACCUUUUGUUGUUCUUUAUUUAUUGUCUUUUUUGUAUUAUGUUUUAAAAUGCAAUAGGCCUGCAUUGCAAAAGUCAAUACAACAUAUCAAAAUCAUAUUUUCUUAUUUCUUUUUUAUUAAAUUGGUUGA